rnacentral:lncRNA from 1 species
UUGACUAUGUGGGGUGGGGGUUGUUUGGAUUUCAAGUGGGUAAUAACAUCUUUAGUAUUCCAUUAAUCAGACACUACAUAUAUUACUAGUAAUCACGUAAGUUCGUGGUUGCCUAUAUUUUUGGAGCACAUGAUUUGGUUCUAAUUUAAUGAUUAAAAACACUUGUUUUCAUCAUUACUUCUCUUUUUAAAAAAAAGUGAACUCCCUGUUGAACAAGAGUAGACAGAUAUAGCAAAAAGAAAAAUCCCCUUUUCUAAAUUAUUACUGCACAUAUUUUUGUUGUUGAAUAAGAUCUACA